rnacentral:rRNA from 1 species
CCUGAUCCCAUCCCGAACUCAGUAGUGAAACGAUGCAUCGCCGAUGGUAGUGUGGGGUUUCCCCAUGUGAGAGUAGGUCAUCGUCAAGC